rnacentral:lncRNA from 1 species
GAGCUGCCUAAGACUGAGGUUCCUUUUUAAACCUCUGCAGUGAUCUGAAAGGGAUUUCUAUUGCAUCCUGGAAGUUUCCCAGUUCAAAUGUGGGACACUAUAUUUCUGCAAAGAGAGGCCCAAGAUAUCACUGGUAAAGAGAAAAAGAGGGAUUUAAGUUUGAUUAAUAGGUGUAAUGCUUAUAAUGCCAAAAUUCAUUAAUGUUAAUCUCAAGACACCAUAUGUAGCACUUCUGUGGUUGAGGAGGGACUUUCUGUUUGGUUUGUUUUGUCAGUCUCUUCCACUUCUGCUUCCUUUGAGACAGUGAUAUUAGCUGAGCCCUACUGUAGAGGAUCCAGGGAGAUAAUCCAGCUGAAAAUUACUAUUUUGUUGUCCUGUUGUAGGAUUAGGUUUCAAGUAGCUCGGCUAACAUGAUGACUGCUGCUAGCACGAGGAUCUGGGAGAUGGGGUAUCCUGCCUAUGAUAGUUCCUCUGAGAUGUUACUGAAUUACAAGGUCUGAGAAAUCCUGACCACUAGCUAACAGAUCCCUAAGAAGAGCAUCAAGACACAAAGGGAUGUGUUCCUCGCUACUGACUAUCCGAAGGGCUCUGAGGGAGCAGCACCCUGCAGGACUGGCCACUGGCAGGACAUCCCAGGGGCACCUGGCUGAGAAAGGAAUGAAACAUAAAAAUCGGAGUCCCACAGAAGUGCAACAGUCCUUGCCAUCUCUUCCCUAGAG